CUCUCUUCUUCACGAGACCACUAAAAAUUAGGGUUUUCAGAUUUCUUCAAAUUUUGCGAAAUCUGGGUACUUCUCUCACAUAUCUUCUUCUCUCUUCUUCUUCUGUUAUUGAAAACGAGAAACCCAAAAAUUAGGGUUUUCAGAUCUAUGCUCCUUCUUCCUUCUCUCGCCGUUAUAAGAUCUACUCAUCUUCUAAACCGUAGAUAUGCCUUAUAGUUACUCCCAACCCUCCACAUCCGUAGCAAGCAUCAACAGUGGAGAAUGUAAUGCAGAUGCCAAUUAUGGUGUUCCCGAGAGGUGUUUCUGUGGUGAGAUGGUCAAACUUGAGCGAUGUCUAACAGGACAGCGCCAAGGAGAGCGCGUAUACAGAUGCCCAGUGCUUAAGGAUGGAGACGAAUAUAAGGAUAAUCGAGAUCACCUAGUUCAGUGGUGGGAUUGGGCGGUAACUGAGGAGCUGUCCAAGAUACACCA